UCCAGACUCCUACGGGAGGCAGCAGUGGGGGAUAUUGCACAAUGGGGGGAACCCUGAUGCAGCGACGCCGCGUGGGUGAAGGAGUACUUCGGUACGUAAAGCCCUAUCAGCAGGAAAGAAAAUGACGGUACCUGACUAAGAAGCCCCGGCUAACUACGUGCCAGCAGCCGCGGUAAUACGUAGGGGGCAAGCGUUAUCCGGAUUUACUGGGUGUAAAGGGAGCGUAGACGGCAGAGCAAGUCUGAAGUGAAAGCCCGCGGCCCAACUGCGGGACUGCUUUGGAAACUGCCCGGCUAGAGUGCUGGAGAGGUAAGCGGAAUUCCUAGUGUAGCGGUGAAAUGCGUAGAUAUCAGGAGGAACACCGGUGGCGAAGGCGGCCUACUGGACUGCAACUGACGUUGAGGCCCGAAAGCGUGGGGAGCAAACAGGAUUAGAUACCCUUGUA
rnacentral:rRNA from 1 species